rnacentral:rRNA from 1 species
CCGUGAGGGAAAGGUGAAAAGCACCCCGGGAGGGGAGUGAAAGAGUUCCUGAAACCGUGCGCCUACAAUCCGUCGGAGCCUCCCUGGUGGGGUGACGGCGUGCCUAUCGAAAAAUGAGUCUGCGAGUCAGUGGUGCGUGGCGAGGCUAACCCGUGGUGGGGGAGUCGUAGCGAAGGCGAGUCUCAAAAGGCGUUUUGAGUCGCGCGCCCUGGACCCGAAGCGGGAUGAUCUAGCCCUGGGCAGGUUGAAGCGCGGGUAAGACCGCGUGGAGGACCGAACCCACCUGGGUUGAAAACCGGGGGGAUGACCUGGGGCUAGGGGUGAAAGGCCAAUCAAAUUCCGUGAUAGCUGGUUCUCUCCGAAAUGCAUUUAGGUGCAGCGUCGGUUGAUUGCAUCGCGGGGGUAGAGCUACUGGAUGCUUGCGGGCCCGUAUGGGGUACCAAUAGCAGCCAAACUCCGAAUACCGUGGAUGUGUAUUCCGGCAGUGAGUCGGCGGGGGAUAAGCUCCGUCGUCGAGAGGGAGACAGCCCAGAUCGUCGUCUAAGGUCCCGAAGCGUGUGCUAAGUGGGAAAGGAUGUGGAGUCGCAUAGACAGCCAGGAGGUUGGCUCAGAAGCAGCCAUCCUUGAAAGAGUGCGUAACAGCUCACUGGUCUAGUGGUUCCGCGCCGACAAUGUAGCGGGGCUCAAGCACACCACCGAAGACGCGGCAGCACUUUUUGGUGCUGGGUAGGAGAGCGUCCCAUGAGGGGCGAAGCGGCCGUGUGAACGCGCCGUGGACUUCAUGGGAGUGAGAAUGCAGACAUGAGUAGCGAGAGACGGGUGAGGAUCCCGUCCGCUGGAUGACCAAGGGUUCCGGGGCCACGUUCGUCGUCCCCGGGUGAGUCGGGUCCUAAGGCGAGGCCGACAGGCGUAGUCGAAUGGAUGAACGGGUGGAUAUUCCCGUACCGGCGGCGUACCGUAAGAGCCGAACGGAUGAGUACUAACCUCCGGUCGCGUGGCGUCGUUCCCUUCGGGGUUCGGGGUCCGCGGUCGUUGGGAGCGUAGUCCUGGUAGGCUAGCGCACAGGGGUGACACGGAAUGGGAGCCGGCCGCGGAGGUGGUUUUCCGUGGUCAAGCACGCAGCCCGUCCCAUAGGCAAAUCCGUGGGGCAUGUAGGGUGAGGUGUGAUGAUGGGCGUCUUUAUGGCGCGAUAUCCGGUGGUCCAGGCCGUCGAGAAAAGCCUCGGCGCGAGGGGCGUCGCCGCCCGUACCCCAAACCGACACUGGUGGUCAGGUAGAGAAUACCAAGGCGAUCGAGCGAAUCCUGGUCAAGGAACUCGGCAAAUCACUCCCGUGCCUUCGGUAUAAGGGAGACCCCCGGGCGUGAAGAGGCUUGCCCUCGGAGCGUUGGGGGGUGGCACAGACCAGGGGGUAGCGACUGUUUACCAAAAACACAGGUGCAUGCGAAGGCGCAAGCCGCUGUAUAUGCACUGACGCCUGCCCGGUGCCGGAAGGUUAAGAGGAUCCGUCAGCCCCUUUUGGGGUGAAGCGGUGAAUUCAAGCCCCGGUAAACGGCGGUGGUAACUAUAACCAUCCUAAGGUAGCGAAAUUCCUUGUCGGGUAAGUUCCGACCUGCACGAAUGGCGUAACGACUUCCCCACUGUCUCGACCAGGAGCUCGGCGAAAUUGCAGUACGAGUAAAGAUGCUCGUUAAGCGCAGAAGGACGAAAAGACCCCGGGACCUUUACUAUACCUUGGUAUUGGCGUUAGGCGCGGAUUGUGUAGCAUAGGCGGGAGGCUUCGAAGCGCGGGCGCCAGCCCGUGUGGAGCCGCAAGGUGAAAUACCGCUCUGUUCUCGUUUGACGUCUAACCUCGAACAGUCAUCCUGUUCAGGGACAGUGCCUGGCGGGUAGUUUAACUGGGGCGGUUGCCUCCCAAAGAGUAACGGAGGCGCUCAAAGGUCCGCUCAGCCCGGUUGGCAAUCGGGUUUCGAGUGUAAUCGCACAAGCGGGCUUGACUGCGAGAACGACGGUUCGGGCAGGGACGAAAGUCGGAGAUAGUGAUCCGGUGCCGGCGCACGGGCGCGGCAUCGCUCAACGGAUAAAAGGUACCCCGGGGAUAACAGGCUGAUCAUUCCCAAGAGUCCAUAUCGACGGGAUGGUUUGGCACCUCGAUGUCGGCUCGUCGCAUCCUGGGGCUGGAGCAGGUCCCAAGGGUUCGGCUGUUCGCCGAUUAAAGCGGCACGCGAGCUGGGUUCAGAACGUCGUGAGACAGUUUGGUCUCUAUCCUCUGCGCUCGUUGGAAUCCUGAGGAGGCC